UUUGCAAGGGAGCCUAUGUGAUAGGCUGAGAAAGGGCUAGUAGCACCUGACCUUUAGACCUGAUCGGGGUUAUGCCCGCGUAGGAAGCA
rnacentral:ncRNA from 1 species